UUGUUUUGUCCAUUUUUGCAAGAGGAAGGUUUGCCUUAGUGAUUGUUUUAGGGCUCAUGACAUUAGGACACAAAAACAACAGCAAGAAAUAAGUACAUAAUGCUCUGCAUAGAUAUUCCCAUUGCAAUGAGAAUGGGAAAGAAUGAAUGUUGAUUGUGUAUUAUAAAAUGUAUUGUUUGCAAUAGAAAUUCUUGAAAACAUAUUUCCAUACACAAACCAUAUUCAGGGCACAUGGGUGCCCAUUAAUGAAAAUAAUAAUAUUUUUUUUGUUUUUAAUCAUAUACCCCAAGCCAAAACUAAAAUUGGUCAUAAUAGUGUUUAGCUGUGAUUAAUACAAUGGCUUCACACAUUCAGGCUACACGUGCAUUACAAUGAAUUGUUAGUCUUAUCUUAGAAAUGUCUGUUGAGCAAUUUGCUCUUUUGAAGUCGCCGUACUCCAUACAGAAAUCAGAUAACUGGCAAUAUAUGCAAAACACAUAUAUAAACCAUUUGUUCAAAUGUGCAUACUUGUACAUACAGUACAUGCAACAUAUAUUUAAAAAAAAAAAAGUAAAAUAGCCAUUUUCAUAUAUGUAACAUACUGUGUAUUUUCCCAAAUACUAUUGGAGUUUGAAUAUGUACAUAUCUGCUCAAAUAUAUGAACUGUAAUAUCUAAUUAUCAUAAAUCAGAUUUCUGUGUGGUUAUUAAACUGACUCGAAACAAUCUGCUUUCUUCACGUCUAGGAAACAAACCAUUUGUUUCCCAUCUGGACGUACUCAUAUCUGGCCCUCCACUGCCCAGUAUUCAUGUUGACUGACUUACUGAGAAACAAACCUCUAAUUGUAACUCAAGGUCUCUUUCUAGUCAUAAAUUGUAUACUUCUUUGCUUUGCUCACAGCCUGACUGCUAUGACCUACUUGCAGUUCAACUAUGCAAUGGUCACCUCCACUGAGGUGGCCUACUUUUCUUAUAUUUACAGUGCCAUACCUCCUGAACGCUACCAAAAGUAAAGCCAGUCAACAUGGCAAGUGCCAUGUUGACUGGCUUUACUUUUGGGGCCACAUUAGGGCAGUUGUUAAUAUCAUUAGCCAGUACAAACUACUUCCAUGUAAACAUUAUUACUCUAGGUCUAAUGGGGGUGGCUUUCCUUAUUUCAUUGGGCCUACCAGUGCCCCAGCAUGGGAUGUUUUUCAAAAGUGGAGUGGAGGCAUGAAGCCUGAUCACAAAAGACUUUACUAAUCCUAAACACUAUCAAAAGUGUAAAAAAUCUGCUAUCUUUAUAGUGAAAGAGGGUAUAAAACUGACAUCUGGAACAUGCCCAGCCAAACCAGUCCUGAUUUAUUCAUAAAUAAUUUGUCUAAUCAUCAAAUGUGUUGAGCAGAAGUCUGUCAAUGCCUCUCUUAAACGGAUAGUUCACUCAAUUGAAAAUUCUCUCAUCAUUUACUCGCACUAAUUUCAUCCCAGUUGUGAAUGACUUUCUUUCCUCUGCAGAAAACAAAGAUUUUUUGUAGAAUAUCUCAGCUUUGUUGAUCCUAACAAUGCAAGUAAAUGGUGACAAGAAUUCAGAAGCUCCAAAAAGAACAUAAAGGCAGCAUAAAAGAAAUCCAUAAGACACCAGUGGAGAAAUAGAUCAACAUUUAAGUCCUUUUAAAAAAAAAAAAAAUCAUCUCCACCUUUGACCAGCCCCAACCAGUAGGUGGCUGACUGUGAAUCUGGUGUGGAAGUGACAAUGUUGAAGUGAAAGUGAAAGUGUAGAUUUACACUAAAAAAUGACUUAAAUAUUGAUCUGUCACCCACACCCAUCAUAACGCUUCUGAAGACAUGGGUUUAAACUCUGGAGUCGUAUGUAUUACUUUUACUACGACUGUCUGUCUUUUUUGGACUUUCUCAGUUCUGGUCACCAUUCACUUGCAUUGUGAGAACCAGCAGAGAUGAGAUAUUCAUCUAAAAACCUUAAUUUGUGUUCAGCAGAAUAAGGAAAGUUAUAUACAUCGGGGGUGGCAUGAGUGUGAGUAAAUGAUGAGAGAAUUUUUUUAUUUUUGGGUGAACUAUCCCUUUAAUUGUUAUGCAGUUGAUUGCAUAGAAGGAAUUAAGCAGCCCAGUAUGUGUGUGAGAAAGUAAUUUAAGCAAUUACAACAGUAGGGGUUUGGUUUGUAGUCACUUCAAUCACAGCUGAAGAGAAGUUCUCUCAGAGGUUUGAUGCCUUGACAAGACAAAGAACAUUAAAACGAAAGCAACAUCAAUGAGUAACUUGGACUCACCUAAAGUGGCAUACAGAGUAAAAGUUUAGUCUAAUUGCAUUUUCCAGCUAGAGGGCAUAUAAUUGUUGCCCUCAAUCAUGCUUUGUCCACAGAUUUGACUUCUUUCACGUUGUGAUUCAUGUCACGAUUGUUGCUUACAGGUGCAGCUGCAGCCUUCUCUGUCAGCCAUAUCAGAGUACAACGGGGAAUCUGGGGUGAGCUGUCUCUUGGUGUAUUCUCUGCUGUAGGUGCAGGGUGUGUCUUUCUUAUGGGUCUCACCAACAAUAUCUGGCUGUUACGCAGGCUAUGCCAUCUUCAAAGCCUCAUAAAUGUUCCUCAUCACAAUCACAAUGUUUCAGAUAGGGGUUAACCUCUCUAUGGAAUGUUUGGCAUAAACACUUUUGUUGCUCUUACCCUACAAACAAUACUACCUGCUGUUGUGGUGGACAAUACUGCUCUGGGACUGGACAUUGUAACACAGAUACAAAGGUCUGAUCACCAUUCGCUUGCAUUGUAAGGACCUACAGAGCUGAGGUAUUUUUCUAAAAAUUUUGUUUGUGUUGUGCUGAGGAAAGAAAAUCAUACACAUCUGGGAUGGCAUGAGGUGGGUAAAUAAGAGAAUUUUCAUUUUUGGGUGAACUAUCCCUUUAAUUUGCAUCUUCUUUUGUUUCACUUUAUUGUAUAUGGAAGUUACUACAGCACCAUUUCCGUGCUGUUCCUCAUCCAAGGUCUGUACACAGUUUGUAAGCAUUACCGCACAUCUGUAACAGGACCAAACACAGAUAGACCACCUGCUGAAAUCCUAGAGGGUCAAUAUGGACCAGCCAUCAAUGACAAAGAGGAUCUCAGUCCACAUCCACAAAUCACCAACACAACCUGAGAAAGAACAUUCAGUGCCAUAACAUCCCAAACAAAUUAUAAAUAAAUAUAUAUUUUAUUUUUCUGUUAUUAUGCUAAUCUAAUUGGGUACUGUAUGUGGUUGUGUAUUAUUUUUUACAUAUAUCAUGUAUGUAUCAAUAUUCAGAAUUUUUUAUUAAUUUAUCUGUAUAUUUGCAUACACUCGAAAAUGUUUUGUUCCACCCUUUUCCUGUUUACAUUCCAAAAGAUGAACAAUUUUUGUCUGCUCCCCUAAUUAGUAUAAUCCAGAUGCUUGGAAUAGAUAGAAUAAUUAAUUUUCUAAAAUAUUUUUUUGUUAACGUUAUGCCUCAGAAAUUGUUUUCACGAGUUUCACCAAAUAAACAGUUAAACCAGCAAACAUGUACACUUCAUUACAUAGAAACGUCAGGCGCCGCUUCUUUAAUCUAACAACGGAAGUUUAUGAAACGCUCGAGGGAAAAGCGGACGUGAUGUCAACUAUUCAAGAGGCCGCAGUGUAAACUGGGAAAUGAGGUCUAAUAACCUUCGUCUGGCGAAGUUUUAUAUGGCUAAAUUUAGAUCAUUUCCGUUACAGCGAUUCUCAUAUCGUAUUUUUGCAACUAAAUAAAUAUAGACAAUAUCGCGAGAAUAAAGUAGUUAUACUUAGAGAUUAAUCUCAUAACACAACGGAUAAUGAGAUUAGUUUAUCACGGUGGUAGUUUAUUCUUUCAUUUUAAUUUUGACAAUAAAUUAAUUUAAUAUUGAACGAUAAUUAGUAUAUCUAUAUUAAAUGUACUUGAUUACAUUUUAUGUUUAAUAGAAACUUAAAAUAUUUGAUAAAGUUUUACAAUUAAGAUUAAACUAGUUAUAUUUUAUUAUUCAUUAUAUUAAAUGCAUUUCUAGUGUCACGUUCUUUGUUAUGAGUAAACGUGUGAUGACUUCUCUGCUCCACCAUCCAUUGUCUAAUUUAUUUAUUUAUUUAUUUAUUUAUUUAUUAUUAUUAUUAUUAUUAUUAUUAUUAUUAUUAUUAUUUAGCUCUAAUCCUCUUCCAUAUACAUUUAUAGAGACACUGGAAAUAAUUGGUUUUGUGUGUCUAUAAAAUCACUACCAGAGCAUCAGAUU